rnacentral:rRNA from 1 species
UACGUAGGGUGCAAGCGUUGUCCGGAAUUAUUGGGCGUAAAGAGCUCGUAGGCGGUUUGUCGCGUCGGCUGUGAAAACCUGGGGCUUAACUCCGGGCCUGCAGCCGAUACGGGCAGACUAGAGUUCGGCAGGGGAGACUGGAAUUCCUGGUGUAGCGGUGAAAUGCGCAGAUAUCGGGAAGAACACCCAUGGCGAAGGCAGCUCUCUGGGACGGUACUGACGCUGAGACGCGAAAGCGUGGGGAGCAAACAGG